GCGCCCGUAGUGAAAAGGAUAUCACGAGGGUCUCCGGAACCCUAAGUCCGAGUUCGAUUCUCGGCGGGCGCACCA
rnacentral:tRNA from 4 species